rnacentral:rRNA from 1 species
UUAAACCUAUUUAAAAUGACGGCAUUUAAUUUAAUUAAAGGAAUCUGUUUUAUAAUCGAUAAUCCACGAUAAUUUUUACUUAUAUAUAAAAUUUAUAUAUCGCCAUCUAAAGAAUUAAUUAUAUAAUAAUAUUCUAUAAAAAGUUAGGUCAAGGUGUAAUUUACAUUAAAGCAAAUAAUGGAUUACAUUAAAAACAAUUUAAGGAUUUAAUAAAAAAAUUUUUUAAUUAAAAAGAAUUUAAAAGUAAUAUUAUAAUAAUAUUUUAAUAUG